rnacentral:rRNA from 1 species
GAGGAACGCGGGCGGCGUGCUUAACACAUGCAAGUCGAACGGAAAGGCCAGUGCUUGCACUGGUACUCGAGUGGCGAACGGGUGAGUAACACGUGGGUGAUCUGCCCUGCACUUCGGGAUAAGCCUGGGAAACUGGGUCUAAUACCGGAUAGGACAAUGGGUGGGAUGCCGGUGUGGAAAGGUUUGUCGGUGUGGGAGGAGCGCGCGGCCGAUCAGCUUGUUGGGGGGGGAAUGGCCUACCAAGGCGUCGACGGGUAGCCGGCCGGAGAGGGGGUACGGCCCCAUUGGGGCUGGGCUCCGGCCCGGCCUCCUCCCCUCCCCCUCCUUGCCUCUUCUUUCCCCCUCGUCUCCCGCCUCCUGCGUCGCCGCCGCGUGGGGGAUGACGGCCUUCGGGUUUUCACCUCCUUUCCCUCUCUCCGCCUCUUCUUUGUCUCUCUCCCUUUCUCCGCCUCCCCCUCUCCCUCCUU